ensembl:snoRNA SNORD43 small nucleolar RNA SNORD43
CACAGAUGAUGAGCCUAUUGACGGGCGGACAGAGAACGCUGUGCUGAUUGUCAAUGUUCUGAUGGG